UACAGAGGGGGCAAGCGUUGUUCGGAAUUACUGGGCGUAAAGGGCGCGUAGGCGGCCUUCUAAGUCGAACGUGAAAUCCCCGGACUCAACCCGGGAACUGCGUCCGAUACUGGAAGGCUUGAAUCCGGGAGAGGGAUGCGGAAUUCCAGGUGUAGUGGUGAAAUGCGUAGAUAUCGGGAGGAACACCAGUGGCGAAGGCGGCUUUCUGGCCUGUUCUUGACGCUG
rnacentral:rRNA from 1 species